GGCGCCGUAGCACAGUUGGUCAGCGCGCCUGCCUCUAACCCAGAGGUAAUGGGUUCAAGGCUCGUCGCUGCUA
rfam:Ciona intestinalis ciona0236, whole genome shotgun sequence.